GUAGGUGGCAAGCGUUGUCCGGAUUUAUUGGGUUUAAAGGGUGCGUAGGCGGUCUUGUAAGUCAGUGGUGAAAUACGGCAGCUUAACUGUCGAGGUGCCAUUGAUACUGUGAGACUUGAGUACAGACGAGGUAGGCGGAAUUGACGGUGUAGCGGUGAAAUGCUUAGAUAUCGUCAAGAACACCGAUAGCGAAGGCAGCUUACUAGACUGUAACUGACGCUGAUGCACGAAAGUGUGGGGAUCAAACAGGAUUAGAUACCCUGGUAGUCCACACUGUAAACGAUGAUUACUCGAUGUUGGCGAUAUACGGCCAGCGUCUUAGCGAAAGCGAUAAGUAAUCCACCUGGGGAGUACGCCGGCAACGGUG
rnacentral:rRNA from 1 species